UGCUGGCUAAUCAAUCCACUGGCACUUCUCUAGGUUGGGACAAGGGGCUUUCUUCAGUUUUAGAGAAAAGGUGUGCUAGAAUCCCCUUUGGCUAUGCUUCUGCUUUGCUAAUGGAUAAGAACUCAGAACAGAGGAUAUUCCUGCAGAAUUCACAUCGGUUUCUGAGUCUUACAUGGAGCAGCAGGCUGUGGGAGUCGAAUGAACUAAAGUUAAGGUGUCAGAUGUCAAACUGCUGAUUUCUUUCAUACGAAGAAAUGACCGAGUCCCAGUUCUUACUGUUGGUUUAUUGCUCACCAAUACGGUCCGGUAUAUUCCCACGCGUAUUUCUCGCCAAUACCUUGAUUGGAGUGCACACAAGGCUGCCGCAGAGAAUCCAGGCACCGAGCAGCACCACCACCCACCCAGUGGAUCGGAAAGGGGAGAAGACCGCAGGAAGGAGAAGAAGAGUAUUACUGUUUGCGGCACGUGGUUUUCAUGCGGAUUCUGAAAUUAACGAGGCAAGAAAAACAAUAAUCAUUAUUUUUUGGGGCAUUUUUGGUUUGAAAA